rnacentral:rRNA from 1 species
GACGAACCGUGCGAACGUUGUUCGGAAUCACUGGGCUUAAAGGGCGCGUAGGCGGACGACCAAGUCUGGGGUGAAAUCUUUCGGCUCAACCGGAAAACUGCCUUGGAUACUGGUCGCCUUGAGGGAGGUAGGGGCAUGUGGAACUUCCGGUGGAGCGGUGAAAUGCGUUGAUAUCGGAAGGAACGCCAGUGGCGAAAGCGGCGUGCUGGACCUCUUCUGACGCUGAGGCGCGAAAGCUAGGGGAGCAAACGGG